UUCCCGGCUUUCUUCGCGGAGACUGCUGUUGGAAUAUAUCCGUAGGUGAACCUGCGGAAGCGGAACAUUAUGAGUCGUCGCUCUGCAGCCCUUUGUGAACAUACCUAUAACUGUUGCUUCGGCGGGUAGGGUCUCCGUGACUCUCGACCGGGCUCCCGCCCCCGGGCGGGUCGGCGCCCGCCGGAGGAUAACCAAACUCUGAUUCAACGACGUUUAUUUUGAGUGGUACAAGCAAAUAAUCAAAACUUUUAACAACGGAUCUCUUGGUUCUGGCAUCGAUGAAGAACGCAGCGAAAUGCGAUAAGUAAUGUGAAUUGCAGAAUUCAGUGAAUCAUCGAAUCUUUGAACGCACAUUGCGCCCGCCAGCAUUCUGGCGGGCAUGCCUGUUCGAGCGUCAUUUCAACCCUCAAGCUCUGCUUGGUGUUGGGGCCCUACAGCUGAUGUAGGCCCUCAAAGGUAGUGGCGGACCCUCCCGGAGCCUCCUUUGCGUAGUAACUUUACGUCUCGCAAUGGGAUCCGGAGGGACUCUUGCCGUAAAACCCCCCAAUUUUCCAAAGGUUGACCUCGGAUCAGGUAGGAAUACGUCGCUGAACUUAAGCAUAUCAAUAAACGAAG
rnacentral:rRNA from 1 species